AUUAGCUAGUUGGUGAGGUAAUGGCUCACCAAGGCGACGAUCCGUAACUGGUCUGAGAGGAUGAUCAGUCACACUGGAACUGAGACACGGUCCAGACUCCUACGGGAGGCAGCAGUGGGGAAUAUUGGACAAUGGGCGAAAGCCUGAUCCAGCCAUGCCGCGUGUGUGAAGAAGGUCUUCGGAUUGUAAAGCACUUUAAGUUGGGAGGAAGGGCAGUAAAUUAAUACUUUGCUGUUUUGACGUUACCGACAGAAUAAGCACCGGCUAACUCUGUGCCAGCAGCCGCGGUAAUACAGAGGGUGCAAGCGUUAAUCGGAAUUACUGGGCGUAAAGCGCGCCUAGGUGGUUUGUUAAGUUGGAUGUGAAAUCCCCGGGCUCAACCUGGGAACUGCAUUCAAAACUGACUGACUAGAGUAUGGUAGAGGGUGG
rnacentral:rRNA from 1 species